rnacentral:rRNA from 1 species
GAACGCUGGCGGCGUGGAUAAGACAUGCAAGUCGAACGGAAAACUCUUGGAGCUUGCUUUGAGAGUUUUCAGUGGCGAACGGGUGAGUAUCACGUGAGCAACCUGCCCAGGAGAUCGGGAUAGCCCGGGGAAACUCGGAUUAAUACCGUAUGGCAUCCGAAAUGGCAUCAUUUCGAGAUUAAAGGUGGGGACCCUUCGGGGCCUGCCGCUUCUGGAUGGGCUCGCGGCCUAUCAGCUAGAUGGUGAGGUAAAAGCUCACCAUGGCGACGACGGGUAGCUGGUCUGAGAGGACGAUCAGUCACACUGGAACUGAGACACGGUCCAGACACCUACGGGUGGCAGCAGUCGAGAAUCAUUCACAAUGGGCGAAAGCCUGAUGGUGCGACGCCGCGUGGAGGAUGAAGGCCCUCGGGUCGUAAACUCCUGUCAUCGGUGAGUAAGGCGGGCGGGUUAAUACCCCGUUCCGUUGAUAGUAGCCGAAGAGGAAGG